UGCCUCAGUAACGGCGAGUGAAGCGGCAAAAGCUCAAAUUUGAAAUCUGGCCCCCCCCGCGGGGGUCCGAUUUAAUUUGCGAGGAUGCUUUGGGCGCGGCGCCUUCCGAGUGCCUUGGAACAGGCCCUGAGAGGGUGAGAGCCCCGUACGGUUGGACGCCUAGCCCGUGUAAAGCUCCUUCAACGAGUCGAGUAGUUUGGGAAUGCUGCUCAAAAUGGGAGGUAAAUUCCUUCUAAAGCUAAAUACUGGCCAGAGACCGAUAGCGCACAAGUAGAGUGAUCGAAAGGUGAAAAGCACUUUGAAAAGAGAGUCAAAUAGCACGUGAAAUUGUUAAAAGGGAAGCGUCUGCGACCAGACGCGCCGCCCGCGGCUCACCCGGCGCCUCGGCGCCGGGGCACGCCGCGGGCGUCGGGCCAGCAUCGGCUCUGCCGUGGGUACAAGGACCGCGGGAACGUAGCUCCCUCGUGGAGUGUUAUAGCCCGCGGCGCCAUGCCCGCGGCGGGGCCGAGGACCGCGCCCGCAAGGGCAAGGAUGCUGGCGUAAUGGCCGCCGGCGACCCGUCUUGAAACACGGACCAAGGAGUCAAGCAGUGGGGCGAGUGUACGGGUGCCAAACCCGCGCGCGAAAUGAAAGUAAACGCAGGUGGGAGCCUCCGGGCGCACCACCGACCGAUCCUGAAGUUUUCGGAUGGAUUUGAGUAGGAGCCCUACUGCUUGGACCCGAAAGAUGGUGAACUAUGCCUGUAUAGGGUGAAGCCAGAGGAAACUCUGGUGGAGGCUCGCAGCGGUUCUGACGUGCAAAUCGAUCGUCAAAUAUGGGCAUGGGGGCGAAAG
rnacentral:rRNA from 1 species